rnacentral:misc_RNA from 1 species
GCAAACUUGGUCAUUUAGAGGAAGUAAAAGUCGUAACAAGGUUUCCGUAGGUGAACCUGCGGAAGGAUCAUUAUUGAAUAAAUUUGAACAGGCUGUUGCUGGCUUCCUUGCAAAGAGGGGGUAUGUGCACGCUUGUCAAUCUUAUUUCUCCAACUGUGCACUUAUUGUAGGCCUGAAGUAUUUUUUUAUCUUGUGUAGAUUGAGGACUGCUGUGCUUUUAAAGAUCAGCUUUGCCUUGUAAUAUCAGGUCUAUGUUACUUCACAAUCUCUGAACUAUGUUUGAGAAUGUUGAUCUGGGUCUUUUGUACCUAUAAAGUUAAAUAUACAACUUUCAGCAACGGAUCUCUUGGCUCUCGCAUCGAUGAAGAACGCAGC